rnacentral:rRNA from 1 species
AAUGAACGUUGGCGGCGUGGAUUAGGCAUGCAAGUCGAGCGGUAAGGCCCCGCAAGGGGUACACGAGCGGCGUAAGGGACAGUAAUGUGUAGGUACGUACCCCCGGGACUGGGAUAGCUGCGGGAAACUGCAAUUAAUACCAGAUGAUGUCUCCGGACCAAAGGUGUGAUUCCGCCAGGGGAGCGGCCUACAUCCUAUUAGCUAGUUGGUGGGGUAAUGGCCCACCAAGGCUCAGAUGGGUAGCAGGUGUGAGAGCACGACCUGCGUCACUGGGACUGCGACACUGCCCAGACACCUACGGGUGGCUGCAGUCGAGAGUCUUCGGCAAUGGGCGCAAGCCUGACCGAGCGACGCCGCGUGCGGGAUGAAGGCCUUCGGGUUGUAAACCGCUGUCAGAGGGGAUGAGGGCUCCGUGAAGAACGGGGUUUGACCUAUCCUAGGAGGAAGUACGGGCUAAGUUCGUGCCAGCAGCCGCCGUAACAC